GAUGAACGCUGGCGGCGUGCUUAACACAUGCAAGUCGAACGGAAAGGCCCAAGCUUGCUUGGGUACUCGAGUGGCGAACGGGUGAGUAACACGUGGGUGAUCUGCCCUGCACUUCGGGAUAAGCCUGGGAAACUGGGUCUAAUACCGGAUAGGACCACAUUUUGGAUGGUGUGGUGGAAAGUUUUUCGGUGUGGGAUGAGCUCGCGGCCUAUCAGCUUGUUGGUGGGGUAAUGGCCUACCAGGGCGUCGACGGGUAGCCGGCCUGAGAGGGUACACGGCCAAGUUGGGUAUGGGAUACGGCCCAAGCCCGUACGGGGGGAAGGGGGGGGGAAUGUUGCAGCAAGGGCGAGAGAGUAAUGAAGGGACGCGGGUGGGGGAGGGCCGGCCUCGGGGGUGAAAAAUCCUUUGGCUGGGGAGGACGCGCAAGGAAGGGGGCUGGGAAAAAAAGCCCCGCUUACUUCGUG
rnacentral:rRNA from 1 species